CUUCACCGAGCCGAGCCAGAACGGUGCCGCGCGGUCCUGACCGUAGGUGGCGAGCACGGCGUUCGCCUC
rnacentral:antisense_RNA from 1 species